UACGUAGGGGGCAAGCGUUGUCCGGAUUUAUUGGGCGUAAAGAGCGUGUAGGCGGCCACACAGGUCUGCUGUGAAAACUCGAGGCUCAACCUCGAGCUGUCGGUGGAAACCGUGUGGUUAGAGUCCGGAAGAGGAGAGUGGAAUUCCCGGUGUAGCGGUGAAAUGCGCAGAUAUCGGGAAGAACACCCGUGGCGAAGGCGGCUCUCUGGGACGGUACUGACGCUGAGACGCGAAAGCGUGGGGAGCGAACAGG
rnacentral:rRNA from 1 species